GGCAGUUCUCUGGUCACGCAACCCGGAAUCGGGCUCCCUCCUCUCUGGUUCUGGAGUGCAUCACCGGAGAACUGCC
rfam:Myotis brandtii contig185304, whole genome shotgun sequence.